GACGAACGCUGGCGGCGUGCCUAAUACAUGCAAGUAGAACGCUGAAGGAGGAGCUUGCUUCUCUGGAUGAGUUGCGAACGGGUGAGUAACGCGUAGGUAACCUGCCUGGUAGCGGGGGAUAACUAUUGGAAACGAUAGCUAAUACCGCAUAAGAGUAGAUGUUGCAUGACAUUUGCUUAAAAGGUGCAAUUGCAUCACUACCAGAUGGACCUGCGUUGUAUUAGCUAGUUGGUGGGGUAACGGCUCACCAAGGCGACGAUACAUAGCCGACCUGAGAGGGUGAUCGGCCACACUGGGACUGAGACACGGCCCAGACUCCUACGGGAGGCAGCAGUAGGGAAUCUUCGGCAAUGGACGGAAGUCUGACCGAGCAACGCCGCGUGAGUGAAGGAGGUUUUCGGAUCGUAAAGCUCUGUUGUAAGAGAAGAACGAGUGUGAGAGUGGAAAGUUCACACUGUGACGGUAUCUUACCAGAAAGGGACGGCUAACUACGUG
rnacentral:rRNA from 1 species